AGGACGAACGCUGGCGGCGUGCUUAACACAUGCAAGUGGAGCGACGAACCAGGGCUUGCCCUGGGGCAGAGCCGCGAACGGGUGAGUAACACGUGGGUUACCUGCCCCGAUGAUUGGGACAACCCGAGGAAACUCGGGCUAAUACCAAAUGUGUCUCUAGCUGUAACGGCUAGAGGGAAAGGAAGCUUCGGCCUCCGCAUCGGGAUGGGCCCGCGGCCCAUUAGCUUGUUGGUGGGGUAAUGGCCUACCAAGGCGACGAUGGGUAGCUGGUCUGAGAGGACGAUCAGCCACACUGGGACUGAGACACGGCCCAGACUCCUACGGGAGGCAGCAGUUAGGAAUUUUCCGCAAUGGGCGAAAGCCUGACGGAGCAACGCCGCGUGAGUGAUGAAGACCUUAGGGUUGUAAAGCUCUGUCGGAGGGGAAGAACACAAUGACGGUACCCUCCAAGAAAGCCCGGCUAACUACGUGCCAGCAGCCGC
rnacentral:rRNA from 1 species